UGCAGUCGAACGGUGAAGCCCAGCUUGCUGGGUGGAUCAGUGGCGAACGGGUGAGUAACACGUGAGUAACCUGCCUUUGACUCUGGGAUAAGCCUUGGAAACGGGGUCUAAUACUGGAUACGAGACGCUCGGGCAUCCGAAGUGUCUGGAAAGAUUUAUCGGUCAGAGAUGGACUCGCGGCCUAUCAGCUUGUUGGUGGGGUAAUGGCCUACCAAGGCGACGACGGGUAGCCGGCCUGAGAGGGCGACCGGCCACACUGGGACUGAGAUACGGCCCAGACUCCUACGGGAGGCAGCAGUGGGGAAUAUUGCACAAUGGGCGCAAGCCUGAUGCAGCGACGCCGCGUGAGGGAUGACGGCCUUCGGGUUGUAAACCUCUUUCAGCAGGGAAGAAGCGAAAGUGACGGUACCUGCAGAAGAAGCGCCGGCUAACUACGUGCCAGCAGCCGCGGUAAUACGUAGGGCGCAAGCGUUGUCCGGAAUUAUUGGGCGUAAAGAGCUCGUAGGCGGUUUGUCGCGUCUGCUGUGAAAACUCGAGGCUCAACCUCGGGCCUGCAGUGGGUACGGGCAGACUAGAGUGCGGUAGGGGAGACUGGAAUUCCUGGUGUAGCGGUGGAAUGCGCAGAUAUCAGGAGGAACACCGAUGGCGAAGGCAGGUCUCUGGGCCGCAACUGACGCUGAGGAGCGAAAGCAUGGGGAGCGAACAGGAUUAGAUACCCUGGUAGUCCAUGCCGUAAACGUUGGGCACUAGGUGUGGGGCUCAUUCCACGAGUUCCGUG
rnacentral:rRNA from 1 species